GACGAACGCUGGCGGCAUGCCUAACACAUGCAAGUCGAACGAGACCUUCGGGCCUAGGGGCGCACGGGUGCGUAAGGCGGGGGAACUAGCACUUAGGUACGGAAUAACUCCCUGAAAGGGGUGCUAAUACAGGUUAAGGUAUUCGGACAAAAGAUUUAUUGCCGUUGGAUGGGCCCGGGUUGGUUUGGCUGGUUGGUAGGGUAUAAGCCUACCAUGGGGACGUUCCAUAGCUGGUCGGUGAGGAGGCUCAGCCACACUUGGACUGCGACACGGCCCAGACGCCUACGCGGGGCAGCAGUGGGGAAUAUUGGACGCGGAGCGCAGGCCUAAUCCAGCCGUGCCGCGGGAGUGAUGAAGGCCGUAGUGUUGUAAAGCUCUUUUAGCCGAGAUGAUAAUGACAGUACCGGGAGAAUAAGCUCCGGCUAACUCCGUG
rnacentral:rRNA from 1 species